UACGUAGGGUGCGAGCGUUGCCCGGAUUUAUUGGGCGUAAAGGGCGCGUAGGCGGCCACGCACGUCCGUUGUGAAAUCGCCCGGCUCAACUGGGCGAGGUCAGCGGAUACGGCGUGGCUGGAGCAAGCUAGGGGGCAAUGGAAUUCCCGGUGUAGUGGUGGAAUGCGUAGAUAUCGGGAGGAACACCAGUGGCGAAGGCGGUUGCCUGGAGCUUUGCUGACGCUGAGGCGCGAAAGCGUGGGGAGCGAUCCGG
rnacentral:rRNA from 1 species